rnacentral:rRNA from 1 species
AUUGAACGCUGGCGGCAUGCCUUACACAUGCAAGUCGAACGGCAGCACGGGAGCAAUCCUGGUGGCGAGUGGCGAACGGGUGAGUAAAGUAUCGGAACGUGCCCAGUCGUGGGGGAUAACGUAGCGAAAGUUACGCUAAUACCGCAUACGAUCUAUGGAUGAAAGCGGGGGAUCGCAAGACCUCGCGCGAUUGGAGCGGCCGAUAUCAGAUUAGGUAGUUGGUGGGGUAAAGGCUCACCAAGCCGACGAUCUGUAGCUGGUCUGAGAGGACGGCCAGCCACACUGGGACUGAGACACGGCCCAGACUCCUACGGGAGGCAGCAGUGGGGAAUUUUGGACAAUGGGCGAAAGCCUGAUCCAGCCAUGCCGCGUGCAGGAUGAAGGCCUUCGGGUUGUAAACUGCUUUUGUACGGAACGAAAAGGUUUGGGCUAAUAAGCUGAGCUCAUGACGGUACCGUAAGAAUAAGCACCGGCUAACUACGUGCCAGCAGCCGCCGUAA